GUCAGUGAUUACGCAAAGACAAUGGACUAAUACAGCUUCGUACUUCGACAAUAAACACUUUCGCCCUAUUUAAUUGGGGGUAAUAGCGAGUAUUUUCUCAGUAGCAUAUUUGGCUGGAAGAAGCAACGAUGUCAAACAGCAGAAAUAUUACGUUGUGGUUCCGCGUAGAACGCCCUGCUGGGCCCCUGGUUGCGAGCGAUAAACCCACCAGCAACGCGGUCACCGGUACCCCUGUCGGCAGUGGUACUAAACGUGUCCAAGAUGAUGUUACAACGAAAAGUGCAAAAAAAUAAACUCUAGAUUUGAUGCACAAUGGACAACAAAAUAUACGUGGCUGAGAGAAACAUCCGAUGGCAAAGGAAUGCUGUGACACAUAUGUGGAAAAUUCAACUUAAAAACAUCCAGAAAUAGUUCUUUGGUAUGGAAUUCUAUGCCAUGUAUAACUAUUACGAAAUAUGCUAUCGAUAAACACGCACACUCGGAGAUGCACAAGAAGGCCAUGUCAUUUAAUAGAAGUGGGAAGCAAAGACAAUCAUGGCGUUCUCAAAAGCUGCAGAUCACUGGGCUUCCAUGAAAGUCCGAAGAAUCAACAUUACAUAGAAAUCACACAGCAGCAGAUUCAUUUAAUCUUCUACAUAAAUUUGUUAAAAAAUAAAGACACAUUUUCAUCCAUGCAA